CAGCAGCAAUUAUUACCCUGCCAGAUUUCCGCUGGCUUUCGCAGCGUCAGAAUCACAACAAAGCAACGCGACUUCAAAAGCAUCCCAGUCUGUUUCCUAUUCAGCCCUUCAAGUACAACUCAAUAAGGGAAGCUGACAGGCUGCUCUGGUCUUGAAAACCCUCUGAGGCUUCACAUUAGCACCCUCUUGAAAUCCCUGCCCUGGAUUCACAACUUCCCAAGUGCAAUGCCAAGAGACGAACUCACUGACCAAGCAAGCAGGCUCCCUGGAAUGCCAGCUCUGACAUGGCACUGGAAGACUCCUGGCUUGUUAGAGCAUUGCUGGGCACAUAUUAAACAGUGCAUCUGCUGACAGGACCUACCCAGCUCCCACUGACCUCACUGGGAAUCUCCUUGCCUGUGCUGGGGGCUGGGGUCAGACCCGAAAGGACUAUACAGAAUGCAGAUUUCUUGCAGCAAGGAAAACUGCUCCAGUGAAGCUUUGCUUCCACAGUAGAUAACAAGAAUUUCAUGCCAGGAAACAGCUUCAUUACAUCAACAACAGGAAGACCCCACUGCUUUGUCACAAAGAAAAACAGCUGUUAGUCGCACAUCAAGGGAAUGGAGAAGAGAAAAAAAAAAUCUCACCUUUUUUUUUUUAAAUGUUCACACAGUUCUUUAAUGUGAAUCACUCUGUUGAGGGAAGUAAGCUACCAGGGGAGUCAAAAACUAAUCGUGAUCCAGUGCGUAUCAGUUAAUAUCUAAGUGUCUCCCUGCUUUUCCUGCUACAUGAUUGCUUGAGAAAUAAAGAUUAAUUCCAACUUUAAAAAAAAAAAAAACUAUUUUUAUCAUUGCCAGAAGUCUAUAUGGGUUUAAAAAAGAAAAAGCACUUGCUUGUCGUUUUACAUCUUGCAAUUUUGUCAGUUGUUUUAAAACAUGUCUCCUGUAAUAAAUAAGAUCA